rnacentral:rRNA from 1 species
UCUUUCGCAAUGGACGAAAGUCUGACGAAGCGACGCUGUGUGAGCGAUGAAGGCCUUCGGGUUGUAAAGCUCUUUCGCAUAGGAACAAGAGAGAACGGUGAAUAGCCGUUUGAUUUGAGGGUACUAUGUAAAGAAGCACCGGCUAACUCCGUGCCAGCAGCUGCGGUAAUACGGAGGGUGCAAGCAUUAAUCGGAUUUAUUGGGCGUAAAGGGCGCGUAGGCGGGUUUGAAAGUCAGAUGUGAAAUUCCGAAGCUCAACUUCGGAGCUGCAUUUGAAACUCCAGAUCUUGAGGGAUGGCGGAGAAAAUGGAAUUCCACGUGUAGCGGUGAAAUGCGUAGAUAUGGGAAGAACACCUGGGCGAAAGCGGUUUUCAGCUUUUCCGACGCGAGGCGCGCGAGCAG